rnacentral:rRNA from 1 species
GAUGAACGCUGGCGGCGUGCCUAAUACAUGCAAGUCGAGCGAACAGACGAGGAGCUUGCUCCUCUGACGUUAGCGGCGGACGGGUGAGUAACACGUGGAUAACCUACCUAUAAGACUGGGAUAACUUCGGGAAACCGGAGCUACUACCGGAUAAUAUAUUGAACCGCAUGGUUCAAUAGUGAAAGUCGGUUUUGCUGUCACUUAUAGACGGAUCCGCGCCGCAUUAACUAGUUGGUAAGGUAACGGCUUACCAAGGCAACGAUGCGUAGCCGACCUGAGAGGGUGAUCGGCCACACUGGAACUGAGACACGGUCCAGACUCCUACGGGAGGCAGCAGUAGGGAAUCUUCCGCAAUGGGCGAAAGCCUGAUGGAGCAACGCCGCGUGAGUGAUGAAGGUCUUCGGAUCGUAAAGCUCUGUUAUUAGGGAAGAACAAAUGUGUAAGUAACUAUGCACGUCUUGACGGUACCUAAUCAGAAAGCCACGGCUAACUACGUG